rnacentral:tRNA from 1 species
GCCUGGGUGGUUCAGUUGGUUGAGCAUCUGACUUUCGCUCAGGUCAUGAUCUCACGGUUUGUGAGUUUGAGCCCCACGUCGGGCU